rnacentral:misc_RNA from 1 species
UUUGUACACACCGCCCGUCACACCAUGGAAGCUGGUCACGCCCGAAGUCGUUACCCUAACCCCUCGGGGAGGGGGACGCCGAAGGUAGGACUGGUGACUGGGGUGAAGUCGUAACAAGGUAGCCGUACCGGAAGGUGUGGCUGGAUCACCUCCUUUUUAGGGAGACCCACUUUUGAGUUUGUGCUCAACAGUUUGCGAAAAACAACUGACGAGUGAGAAAAAGAACUCAAGAGCCAUCCCGAGGUCGACCGCAAUUUUUGGAGUGUCAGCUUUCAAACUAUAAGUAAGGUUCGGAUAUGGGCUAUUAGCUCAGGUGGUUAGAGCGCACCCCUGAUAAGGGUGAGGUCCCUGGUUCGAGUCCAGGAUGGCCCACCUGAAGUGAAUUCAAAAGUCAAUUUGAAUAACUUUUGAUUGUGUGAUUGAAAGUUUGAAAUUUGAAGUUUGAAUAGUAGUAGGGGGGUAUAGCUCAGUUGGUAGAGCGCCUGCUUUGCAAGCAGGAUGUCAGGAGUUCGAGUCUCCUUACCUCCACCUGCGCCAAUGAUUUUGUGAUUCCACACAGAGUGUACUCAAAAACCAGCAAAGGAAACACAGUGCAAUCUCAAGUGAGAAAAACAAAAGCAAAGUAAGUAUCCGAAAGGAAAACAGUGGUUAAAAUUCAGCAUCUUGUGAAGUCAAGCAAGACUGCUGGACAUUAUCCAGCAAAAGAACCUUGAAAACUGCAUAGAAACGCGAAAUUUGUCAGGUAGUUAACUAAAAACAGUUAACACUCCAAACAAAAACACCAAACAAAGUAGUCAAGCAAGAAAAGGCGAAUGGUGGAUACCUAGGCACACAGAG